ACAAAAUAUCUGGCUGGCGGUUCGCUGCCGUGCCAAUCCACCUUGCUGGGGUCUUGCCCUGGACUGCUUCAAAUCAGUCCGGAGCUAAGUGCGGUUCCUUCGAUCAACGUAACAAUUGAUCAUUUAGAGGGAGCUGCCUUGGUGCUUUGCGGCGCCAAGCCCGAAGGGACAGUGACUGAGCAUUCAUUUGCUCGGCACUAACUUUUAUAUUAUAUUAAAGUCUAAUAACAUGUCGAGAGACAACCAAUA
rnacentral:misc_RNA from 1 species